ACUAGGGGAGGCAGCAGUCGGGAAUAUUGGUCAAUGGGUGCGAGCCUGAACCAGCCAUGCCGCGUGCAGGAAGAAGGCCUUCUGGGUUGUAAACUGCUUUUACCAGGGGAUAAAAACGUUUUGCGAAACGGAUUGAAGGUACCUGGGGAAUAAGCCACGGCUAACUACGUGCCAGCAGCCGCGGUAAU
rnacentral:rRNA from 1 species